UAGGGCUCUUUCGGGUCUUAUAAUUGGAAUGAGUACAAUUUAAAUCCCUUAACGAGGAACAAUUGGAGGGCAAGUCUGGUGCCAGCAGCCGCGGUAAUUCCAGCUCCAAUAGCGUAUAUUAAACUUGUUGCAGUUAAAAAGCUCGUAGUUGUACUUUAUGUCCUCCGCGUGGUCCCUUCCUCGCCGGGACGCCUCGUUACUUUGAGAAAAUUAGAGUGUUUCAAGCAGGUUUCGCCUGUAUAAUUGAGCAUGGAAUAACCUUGUAUGACCCUGUCGUACCGUUGGUUGACUUUGGGUAAUGGUUAAUAGGAACGGUUGGGGGCAUUCGUACUCGACUGUCAGAGGUGAAAUUCUUAGAUUUGUCGAUGACGCACGACUGCGAAAGCAUUUGCCAAGGACGCUUCCAUUAAUCAAGAAC
rnacentral:rRNA from 1 species